CAGUGCCAGCGCCUGGGGGACACGGCGGAGAUGGAGAUGGCGGCGAUGCUGGAGCGCUGCCCCUCCGUGCUGCGCUUCGGGUACCACUUCACCCAGCAGGGCCCCCGCGCCCGCGCCGCCAGCGCCAUCACCAGGAACAACGAGCUCCGCCGGAAGCAGAAGAAAACCUAAACCAACCCCCCAGGAACGGGAGAUCUCUGGGAAUGUUGGAAAUAAAGCUGGAAAGACACGGAUUUGAGACCCCCUUUGGGGCAGGAUUGUGCCACACGGGA